rnacentral:rRNA from 1 species
AGUGGCGGACGGGUGAGUAACACGUGAGCAACCUGCCUUCAAGAGGGGGAUAGCACCUGGAAACGGGUGGUAAUACCGCAUAAGACCACGGUGUCGCAUGGCACAGAGGUCAAAGGAGCAAUCCGCUUGAAGAUGGGCUCGCGUCCGAUUAGAUAGUUGGUGAGGUAACGGCUCACCAAGUCGACGAUCGGUAGCCGGACUGAGAGGUUGAACGGCCACAUUGGGACUGAGACACGGCCCAGACUCCUACGGGAGGCAGCAGUGGGGGAUAUUGCACAAUGGGCGAAAGCCUGAUGCAGCGACGCCGCGUGAGGGAAGACGGCCUUCGGGUUGUAAACCUCUGUCAUUCGGGACGAAGCAAUGACGGUACCGAAGAAGGAAGCUCCGGCUAACUACGUGCCAGCAGCCGCGGUAAUACGUAGGGAGCGAGCGUUGUCCGGAAUUACUGGGUGUAAAGGGAGCGUAGGCGGGAAAGCAAGUUGGAAGUGAAAUGCAUGGGCUUAACCCAUGAGCUGCUUUCAAAACCGUUUUUCUUGAGUGAAGUAGAGGCAGGCGGAAUUCCCCGUGUAGCGGUGAAAUGCGUAGAGAUGGGGAGGAACACCAGUGGCGAAGGCGGCCUGCUGGGCUUUAACUGACGCUGAGGCACGAAAGCGUGGGUAGCAAACAGGAUUAGAUACCCUGGUAGUCCACACUGUAAACGAUGAUUACUAGGUGUGGGAGGAUUGACCCCUUCAGUGCCGCAGUUAACACAAUAAGUAAUCCCACCUGGGGAGUACGACCGCAAGGUUGAAACUCAAAGGAAUUGACGGGGGCCCGCACAAGCAGUGGAGUAUGUGGUUUAAUUCGACGCAACGCGAAGAACCUUACCAAGUCUUGACAUCCCUUGACAGACAUAGAAAUAUGUUUUCUCUUCGGAGCAAGGAGACAGGUGGUGCAUGGUUGUCGUCAGCUCGUGUCGUGAGAUGUUGGGUUAAGUCCCGCAACGAGCGCAACCCUUAUGGUCAGUUACUACGCAAGAGGACUCUGGCCAGACUGCCGUUGACAAAACGGAGGAAGGUGGGGAUGACGUCAAAUCAUCAUGCCCUUUAUGACUUGGGCUACACACGUACUACAAUGGCGUUAAACAAAGAGAAGCAAGACCGCGAGGUGGAGCAAAACACAGAAACAACGUCCCAGUUCGGACUGCAGGCUGCAACUCGCCAGCACGAAGUCGGAAUUGCUAGUAAUCGUGGAUCAGCAUGCCACGGUGAAUACGUUCCCGGGCCUUGCACACAACGCCCGUCA